rnacentral:rRNA from 1 species
UUUACCUGGUUUGUCCUGCCAGUAGUCAUAUGCUUGUCUCAAAGAUUAAGCCAUGCAUGUCUAAGUACAGGCCGACCCAAGGCGAAACCGCAAAUGGCUCAUUAAAUCAGUCAUGAUUCAUUGGAUGUUGAUGAAUCUUUUACUCGGAUAACCGUGGUAAUUCUAGAGCUAAUACGUGCAAUCGAGCUCCGACCCCGCCAUUCCAGGCGGGGGAAGGGCGCAUUUAUUAGAAUCAUAAACCGAGCGGACUGCGGUCCGUCUCAUACGAGGUUGUGAUGACUCUGAAUAACUACGCCGAGCGCUGAGGCCUUCGUGCCGGCGCCGUAUCCUCCGAGUGUCUGCCUUAUCAGCUUUCGAUUGUAGGUUAUACGCCUACAAUGGCUGUAACGGGUAACGGGGAAUCAGGGUUCGAUUCCGGAGAGGGAGCCUGAGAAACGGCUACCACAUCUAAGGAAGGCAGCAGGCACGCAAAUUACCCACUCCCGGCACGGGGAGGUAGUGACGAUAAAUAACGAUGCGGGACUCUUCCGAGGCCUCGCAAUCGGAAUGAGUUCACUCUAAAUACUUGGACGAGGAUCCAUUGGAGGGCAAGUCUGGUGCCAGCAGCCGCGGUAAUUCCAGCUCCAAUAGCGUAUAUUAAAGUUGCUGCGGUUAAAAAGCUCGUAGUUGGACUUUAAGAUACGUACCGGCGGCCCAUCCAAGGCGCGCCCUCGCCGAUCGUCGGCUUAUAAGGCGUUCGCGCUUUAGCCGUUCGGCCCGCCCUUCCCCUAUCGCCCCGCUUCUCCCCCUCCCGAAACCCUCUCGCUCAUUUGCCCCUCUUUUCUCGGGGAGACCGGUCCACACCUGGUUUUUUAGNNNNNNNNNNNNNCAGGCUACGGUGUCCCACUCCCGCAAAAAACGGGAAAACGAGGUGGUCGAGCGAACCAGGGCGACGAGGAUUAAUUGCGGGUCGCGGGCGCGGCGGGUGUCGGGCAAAUAAAGGUCGGGCGGUGUUUAGCUCGGCGAGAGGCGGGUAAGCGCGCCCGGUGGUUCACUUGCCGGCAACGAAUUUUUAAAAGCCGUCGGCGCUCACGGGGUGCUCUUUACCGAGUGUCCCGCGUGGCCGACACGUUCACUUUGAAAAAAUUAGAGUGCUCAAAGCAGGCAAACCUUAUAGCCUGAAUGUAUAUGCAUGGAAUGAUGGAACAGGACCUCGGUUCUGCAUUUUUCUCUCGGUUUUCCGAACCCGAGGUAAUGAUUAACGGGAACGGACGGGGGCAUUAGUAUUGCGACGCUAGAGGUGAAAUUCUUGGACCGUCGCAAGACUAACUACUGCGAAAGCAUUUGCCAAGAACGCUUUCAUUAAUCAAGAACGAAAGUUAGAGGAUCGAAGGCGAUCAGAUACCGCCCUAGUUCUAACCUUAAACGAUGCCAACUGGCGAUCCGCUUACGUUAUUCCCACGACUGAGCGGGGAGCCCCCGGGAAACCAAAGUCUUUGGGUUCCGGGGGAAGUAUGGUUGCAAAGCUGAAACUUAAAGGAAUUGACGGAAGGGCACCACCAGGAGUGGAGCCUGCGGCUUAAUUUGACUCAACACGGGGAACCUCACCAGGCCCAGACACCGGAAGGAUUGACAGAUUGAGAGCUCUUUCUCGAUUCGGUGGGUGGUGGUGCAUGGCCGUUCUUAGUUGGUGGAGCGAUCUGUCUGGUUGAUUCCGAUAACGAACGAGACUCUACCCUACUAACUAGUCGGUGGAUCGUAUCCCGAGACGGGUUCCCCUGUCGGGGGGUUCGGUGCGGUACGUUGGCCCUCCGUCCGCGGCGUCCUUCCCUCUAAAGCGGCGGGAAAAUGCCGUUUUUUCGUCCCUCCUCCCUCCCGGGGCGUUUCGGCGCUUCGGGUGUGGAGGUGGGCGGGAGGCGGCACGACUCGUGCGCGUAGGGGGGCCAAAACGGGGCGUCGCGCGUCGUUAGAGGCGUCGCGUCCGCGCUCGCUACAUUCCCCGUUCAGGGCCCAGCGAGGGGCGUCCACCGCAACAUCUUCUUAGAGGGAUCGGCGGCGUCCAGCCGCACGAGAGAGAGCAAUAACAGGUCUGUGAUGCCCUUAGAUGUUCUGGGCCGCACGCGCGCUACAAUGAAGGGAUCAGCGUGCUUUCCCCCUCCGAAAGGAGCGGGUAACCCGUUGAAACCCCUUCCCGAUUGGGAUUGGGGAUUGCAAGUGUUUCCCAUGAACGAGGAAUUCCCAGUAAGCGCAAGUCAUCAGCUUGCGAUGAUUACGUCCCUGCCCUUUGUACACACCGCCCGUCGCUACUACCGAUUGAAUGAUUCAGUGAGGGCGUCGGACUGGCGCCCUCGGUAGCUCUCGGUUUCGGGCAAUGCGCCUUCGCCCUUCCGGGGCGUUUGGCGGGCUCGGCCGUUAGGCACCCCGGGCCGCCGGAAAGACGUCCGAACUUGAUCAUUUAGAGGAAGUAAAAGUCGUAACAAGGUUUCCGUA